rnacentral:rRNA from 1 species
GCUUGGCCCUAAACCUCAGUAGUUAGAUAACAAAACUACUCGCCAGAAUACUACGAGCUACAGCUUAAAACUCAAAGGACUUGACGGUGCUUUACACCCCCUAGAGGAGCCUGUUCCGUAAUCGAUAAACCCCGAUCCACCCCACCCUCUCUUGCUCAGCCUAUAUACCGCCAUCUUCAGCAAACCCUAAUGAAGGUCACAAAGUGAGCGCAAACGCCGUCCCGCGAGUACGUUAGGUCAAGGUGUAGCCUAUGAGAUGGUAAAAAAUGGGCUACAUUUUCUACCUCAGAAAAUCCACGAAAACCCUUAUGAAAUUUAAGGGCCCAAGGAGGAUUUAGCAGUAAAUUAAGAAUAGAGUGCUUAAUUGAACCAGGCCAUAAAGCGCG